GUAAUAGUAAAGGGUAAGAGUAAAGGGUUAAGGGUAAUAGUAAAGGGUAUGAGUAAAGGGUAUGAGUAAAGGGUAUGAGUAAAGUCGAACCUUGGCUACUCUGAUGGAGUUGACCCAGAGGGAGAGAGUGUGCUCAUCGUCACAACACAGGAACCUGAUGUACUGGGACUCCUUCUGGAUCUGAGGAUGCUACAGAGCAAGACCACAACAUAUUGUAUUGAUGAAGUUCAUCAAAGAGCCUGCAGGAGGCGACCUAUGCUCACAUUAGCCAAGCCAUAAGAUGGAGCUCCAUAUGUACUUCACUUGCAAUGAAAAUAGUGUCCAAAACAGAAAUGGAUUCAGCUCGUAUGUUGCCGUUAUAAACCAUACCGUGGAAAUAUAAGCUCAAGUUCAAGAAAAUAGUGUCCAAAACAGAAAUGGAUUCAGCUCGUAUGUUGCCGUUAUAAACCAUACCGUGGAAAUAUAAGCUCAAGUUCAAGAAAAUAGUGUCCAAAACAGAAAUGGAUUCAGCUCGUAUGUUGCCGUUAUAAACCAUACCGUGGAAAUAUAAGCUCAAGUUCAAGGGUGUUGAUGGGAGAAGAGUAAAAAAACUCAAAUGGAUAACCAUCAUGCUAUUGUUUCCUCUGAAGUGGAUGGCCUACCUUGAGGAUGAAGCAGAAGUCAGUGGGUGCUUUGUAUUUCUGUUUGUAAUCAGUGGUGGUGUAGAUGUUGACUUUGUCAAACUGAAUGAAGCACGCCAGGUCCCUGGAUGUCUGCCAAGGGAGAAAAACAUGAAAAAACCUGCACAAGUAGAAUUCAGUUCAUAUGGAUUAUAUUAUUGAAGAUGCAGCACAUAGUAUAUCCCAGAAGCUCUCAGCAGGAAGUAGCGACGUUUCCACGAUUUCUUCCCGUCCUCCCUCAGAUACAGCGGCCCUUCCAGGUCUGGGACGAUGAGAGACGGCCCCUCAAAAUUUUCCUGGAUUCAGACGUUUAAAAUAAGAGAACAAGCAGCAGUUGUUUAAAACAAAUGGCUACACGCAAGAAGACCAUCAAUGAGCCCUACCAGUGUAGACUGCUGAGGGGAGGACGCCUUAUUAUAAUGGCUGGAACGGCGUGAAUGGAAUGGCAUCCAACACAUGGAAACCAUGUUUAAUACCAUUACCACGAGCCCAUCCUCCGCAAUUAAGAAUCGUCUCAUCAUGAAGGCUAUACCCACACCGUACCUUCAAGCUGUUGGCUAUAGCACACAUACCAAUACCAGAGCGGACACACUCACUAUAACACAAACAUUUGUUGUGGGAAACCCAUCAGUAGAGUUGAAAAUGCAAUGAACAGUCAUUUAACUUUUUAAAAUGUAUUUUGUACAUGGGAAUUUAACUGCAAAAUUUAUUUUUAUGUGCCCUACGUAAUCACACAGAGCAUUUUAUCCUCAACAGGUCAAUGUGAUGGAAACUGCAUAUUGUUUUAAUGUGGAUUUUAGAAUAUUCGGAUGAACAUCUGUUGCCAAUUGGAUGGAAACCUAGCUAGUGACACAGAUUUAGCCUACAGCUGCCAGUUAAUAAUUUGGCUGUAUAUUGUAUGAAAUAUUAGGCUAAUUAACACUUAGGUCUAAUGAGGGAAGGGGAAAUUCAGGGGAACACAUUUGACAGGCACGAACUUGCAAUAGCUUAAAAAGUUGUUAGAUUGGCUUUUAUAACACAGAAUUCAUUAGCCAUCUAUAAAACAUUAAAUACAGUACUACUGCUUUUUAUUAAAUACAAGUCAUCGUGUAUUACUAUGAAAAAAACGUAAUGAAUAAAUAAUAAUUGCUAAAUAAUCCUCUGUUAAAACAAUUAAAAUACACAGACCUUUUAACAAUGCUUAUUCGCUCCUGAAUCUCAGUCUCUUGAGCCAAUGAGUGGAAGUGAGUCUGGUGUCAGAUAACAUUACAUAACCACCGCCACUGGAGGCUUGUAAGUCCCACCUAUUUAAUUUGCUGAAAGGUCUGUCAUUUCUUGGCAGAAAGAUAUCCAUACACUGUAAAACAAACCACAACGCUGGAAAUCUGUCCACAUCCACAUAAAGUAGUAUGAGGAUUCUAUGACAAACAAUAGAAGAGAGGGAGAGAAGGAGACUGGCAGUUCCUUCAUGUAGCCAAUGGUUGUAUUAUACAGUCAAAACGUUAAGGAACUGGUGGUCUCUCUCUCCUUCUCUAUUGAGUUAUAUGGAGCAUAACUUAGCUAAGU